rnacentral:rRNA from 1 species
GACGUAGGGCGCGAGCGUUGUCCGGAUUUAUUGGGCGUAAAGAGCUCGUAGGCGGUUUGUCGCGUCUGCCGUGAAAGCCCGGGGCUCAACUCCGGAAUUGCCUUUAAGACUGCAUCGCUAGAAUUGUGGAGAGGUAAGUGGAAUUCCGAGUGUAGAGGUGAAAUUCGUAGAUAUUCGGAAGAACACCAGUGGCGAAGGCGACUUACUGGACACAUAUUGACGCUGAGGUGCGAAAGCGUGGGGAGCAAACAGGAUUAAGAAACCCU